CUUGAAAAUGACCUAACAAAGCAGAACCUUGGUAACCAGGCAACCCACUGGUUAUAGGAAGCCCUGUAGGCUCACUUGUCAGAGACAGUAGGGAGGGCAGGAUGUUCUCUUGCUGUCUUCAGACUACUCAAGGCUCAGGGCUCAAGAAAGACAACAGGGAAGGCCAUGAUGGUGUCUGGUGGCACAGGAUUCAUUCUUGCCUUCAACGCCUGUGGCCAUUUUCAAAAGAGGGAACAACUUUGACCAAGGCCAGCCAAGGACAGGACCAUACAGACCAGGUGGAGAAUGCUUCUGCUCAACAUGACCAGAUGGAGCCCCAGAGAGAGGCCUGCUCCAGGGCACAGAUAGUGGUUGAGCAGAUGAACACGCUGGUGCCUUCUCUGAAGAAAUGGGACCCUUCAUGGUCCUUGUUUUUCUGUCUACAUACAGAUAUUUUGCCACACCCCGACAGGUAUUGGACCUGCUGUUUGUGAGGUAUGCUUACUUCAACCCUUAUUCUAAAGAGGAUGAACAAGAAAAGAACACCAUCUGUAGCUUCCUAGAGACAUGGAUGAACACGAAUCCUGAGGACUUUUGUGACCCAGCCAACCUGUUGUCUCUGAAAUACCUGAAGGCCUACUUGAGGGUGUGCAUGCCACACUCUGAUCUAAGAACAUGCCAAGGAUUCACAAACCAAGGUUGAGGAAGACUCAGAUCUGGAGAGAGACUCAUCCUCAGAUCCACACAUUGAAUGGGUGUAAAUCAGCAGGGAAAAGAGCCACUCUGGAGCCAGAACCAAUUUGUGCACCAGAGCUGGCGGGAACAAAAAUAUACAGAAGUUUCUCUGAUGCAUGAGUAGUUGUAGGCAGAUGUGGUAGCCUUAGACUAGACAGCACACAUCAUAGCAGCUGUGGAACAUUUGUCUCAGGAUAUCUGUAGAUACAAUGUAUCUUUCAGUCGCCUCCUGCUUGCUACAGUAGGCCUACCUAGUUAGGGAAUGACUCUGUCAGUCUGGUCAUCUAUUGCAGUCUGUCAUAUAUGUGAACUGCUGCUCCUGCCACACAUGAUCACCUGCUGAUUUCAAUCCAACAGCAGUUCCAACCCCAUAGCUAGCCUUCCUGUCCAUAAGAAAUAUUCUUUUUACUCCUAAUGCUUUCAAUGUUGAUUUUAGGUAAAUAUUAGUUUUAAUAUACACCCAGAUAUUCACAGGGUUGACGAGGAUGGGGAAUAAUAGAAUCAUGGCACGUCAGUACUUCAAAAAUAUAAAGGCAACUAAUAUGACUUUGUUUGUCUAAUGAUAUGUAAAUCCUCCAAAGAAUUAAAAAUCAGAAAUCCAAACUGCACAACAGGUCUGCAGUGGAUGAACAGAUUAAUUGUAGUUUUUGCUAAUUCAUGCUACAGCAUAGGCAAAGUUACUGUGCUAAGCAAAGAAGCCAAAUACUAGUCUAGAAUUAGGCAAGAAUUUCCAUAAUGAAGA
rnacentral:lncRNA from 1 species